CAUUUGAUGGACAUCCUGCUGUAAAGUUCUCAUGGUGUUGCAGAGUCGAAGUGGAGUAGACCUGGAAACCGUUUGGGAACACAACAGAGCAGGUACAGGCAGAGCAUCACUCUCUGCAUCCCUUCCCAAAUCCUCCUGCACUGCGGCAACGCCACGUCACCGAGAUCCCAUUUGGAUGGGGAGCAGAGGUGACCAUGGUAAACUCUCUGGGACUGGGAUAAUCUUCUCCUUCUCAGGAGGACUACACUGAGCACCUGUGGUUUGACUCCAGCUGGAAGAGGUUCAGAAGUAAAUUACUACAAAAAUGCAGACAGAACCUGCAAUAUUUGCCAUGGAAUUAUUCAUCCAGCAAUUCGGGAGCCGCAGAUCAGCAUGUGAAAGACAGCAGUUAAAAUACAGGGCUCUCCAGUCUCUUUUGCGCUGGUCUAAAUCAAGAGUAACUUUCGCUGGAUCCAAUGCAGUGUAAAAUUGGCCUUAUAUUAACCAUUUUUAUUACGGAAAUAAUGAAAAUGGCAAAAACAUUACAAAUCAGUCCAAGAAACCUUUCCAAGCAGCCAGAGAGGAUGGGACAGCGGGGACAUCGGCCGCUUACUAAUUCCUGUGCUCUGAACCAAAUCCGGAGUCAUUUUUCUGACUGGAAGGAAACGGCUGCAUUGCAAGUUAAGUGAUCCUGUGGUGAGAUUCAGAAGUCCUCAAAGCGAUUCACCUACGACAGAUGCUGGUAAUAGGCAGGAUGGGGACUACAGCCUUGCCUCGAUGGCGUUUGCUCAAUUAAUUUAAUACCUUCAUAUAUACAAUAUCAUAUAUACUCUGUGUUCUCUUUCUACCCAUAAGCAGCUACUUUCCUGGGAGCACAGGGCGGGAAGGUCCGUGGUACUGUGCCAUCAUGAGCUCUCUUCAACUCUGCUGGAAGUCUAAGAAAAUGGGCUUUUCUCCGGCAUGGACUGGUGUCUGAAUUCAGCCUUGUCUGUGGCCAUGAAUGUUAAUUUACAUACGUGAGGGAAUUAUGUGGUGGAUUUCAAAGCUCUUCCUAGACCUCCAGGUGCCCAAGAGAAAUGAAGUAGUGUUUGUGGAGGAGAAAAUAUGCAGAAAUUAUACUGGAAAUUCCUUUUUUGUAAUAUUGACACUUUUUCACGUAGGCUUUGGGCGUUCAGAACCAGAAGAGGAACAUGCAUCUGUCUUCCGAUUGAGGUUUUUUUUCACCAAUGAGAUGCUCUUGACAGUAUUCUCAGGAUACUAAUUUGUUACUUUUAAUGAUAAUUCUUUGUCCACGUGAGAACAGGCAUACAUCACACGCACACACAUAUACUCUGUGCUCGCUUUCAUAAAAUAUUUAUGAAUCAUUAUUGGCAUUAGGGAUAUCUGAAGCCAAAAUUCAUAGGAGGCAAUUUUGUAGAAAAUGAAAUUAUGGAAUAUUUAUUCAUCCAGUAAGCUGCCCUGAGUAUGUGUCUCCAGCAGAAUUAGGGAGUUAUUUAUUUAUGAGCUGGUCUCCUAUUCUCUUCCUUAAAGAGAAAUCGUGGAACAGGUUGAACAGGAUGUUUGUUUACAAAUUGGCCAGAGAGCAUUGUUCUUAGUUUGAUUUGCAAUGACUAAUGAGCAACAUAAUUUUUAAUCAUAGGUUUUCAAGCCUGACACACUG